rnacentral:rRNA from 1 species
UACGGAGGUCCCGAGCGUUGUUCGGAAUUACUGGGCGUAAAGGGAGCGCAGGCGGACGGGUCAGUCUGAAGUGGAAAUCCGGGGCUCAACCUCGGACUUGCUUCGGAUACUGCCCGUCUUGAGUUCGUGAGAGGAAGAUGGAAUUCAGGGUGUAGCGGUGAAAUGCUCAGAUAUCCUGAGGAACACCAGUGGCGAAAGCGGUCUUCUGGCACGAAACUGACGCUGAGGCUCGAAAGCGUGGGUAGCAAACAGG